UACGAAGGGGGCUAGCGUUGCUCGGAAUUACUGGGCGUAAAGGGAGCGUAGGCGGGUUAUCACGUUGGGGGUGAAAGCCCGGGGCUCAACCUCGGAAUUGCCUUCAAAACUGAUAACCUGGAGUAUGGAAGAGGUAAGUGGAACUCCGAGUGUAGAGGUGAAAUUCGUAGAUAUUCGGAAGAACACCAGUGGCGAAGGCGACUUACUGGUCCAUUACUGACGCUGAGGCUCGAAAGCGUGGGGAGCAAACAGG
rnacentral:rRNA from 1 species